GUGGGGAAUAUUGCACAAUGGGCGAAAGCCUGAUCCAGCCAUGCCGCGUGAUAGAUGAAGGCCCUCUGGGUUGUAAAUAUCUUUUAUCUGGGAAGAAACUCCUCUAUUCUUAGAGGCCUGACGGUACCAGAGGAAUAAGCACCGGCUAACUCCGUGCCAGCAGCCGCGGUAAUACGGAGGGUGCAAGCGUUAUCCGGAUUCACUGGGUUUAAAGGGUGCGUAGGCGGGUUGAUAAGUCAGUGGUGAAAGCUCCGGGCUUAACUUGGAAACUGCCAUUGAUACUGUCAGUCUUGAAUGUCGUAGAGGUAAGCGGAAUGUUGCAUGUAGCGGUGAAAUGCUUAGAUAUGUUACAGAACACCAAUUGCGAAGGCAGCUUACUAUGCGAUAAUUGACGCUGAGGCACGAAAGCGUGGGGAGCAAACAGGAUUAGAAACCCCUGUAGUCC
rnacentral:rRNA from 1 species